GUCUACAGCCAUGCCACCCUGAACAAGCCCGAUGUCUGAUCUCGGAAGCUAAGUAGGGUUGGGCCUGGUUAGUAUUUGGAUGGGAGACCACCUAGGCAGACCAGGUGCUGUAGGCA
rnacentral:rRNA from 1 species